ACGGGAGGCAGCAGUGGGGAAUAUUGCACAAUGGGGGAAACCCCGAUGCAGCGACGCCGCGUGAGUGAAGAAGUAUUUCGGUAUGUAAAGCUCUAUCAGCAAGGAAGAAAAUGACGGUACUUGACUAAGAAGCCCCGGCUAACUACGUGCCAGCAGCCGCGGUAAUACGUAGGGGGCAAGCGUUAUCCGGAUUUACUGGGUGUAAAGGGAGCGUAGACGGUGAGGCAAGUCUGAAGUGAAAUGCAUGGGCUCAACCCAUGAACUGCUUUGGAAACUGUCUGACUAGAGUGCAGGAGAGGUAAGUGGAAUUCCUAGUGUAGCGGUGAAAUGCGUAGAUAUUAGGAGGAACACCAGUGGCGAAGGCGGCUUACUGGACUGUAACUGACGUUGAGGCUCGAAAGCGUGGGGAGCAAACAGGAUUAGAUACCCUGGUA
rnacentral:rRNA from 1 species